GGUAGGGUGGCCGAGAGUUUAGGCGGUAGGCUGUAGACCUAUUUACAGGGGUUUAAUCCCUCUUCCUAUCA
rnacentral:tRNA from 1 species